rnacentral:rRNA from 1 species
UACGUAGGGGGGCUAGCGUUGUCCGGAAUCAUUGGGCGUAAAGCGCGUGUAGGCGGUCCGGUAAGUCCGCUGUGAAAGUCGAGGGCUCAACCCUCGAAUGCCGGUGGAUACUGUCGGGCUUGAGUACGGGAGAGGCGAGUGGAAUUCCUGGUGUAGCGGUGAAAUGCGCAGAUAUCAGGAGGAACACCAAUGGCGAAGGCAGCUCGCUGGGACGUGACUGACGCUGAGACGCGAAAGCGUGGGGAGCAAACAGG